rfam:Dictyocaulus viviparus strain HannoverDv2000 D_viviparus-1.0_Cont114.1, whole genome shotgun sequence.
GACCCGGUAGUGUAAUGGAUCAGCACAGCAGACCGGAUAUCUUUAAGUGCGGGUUCGAGUCCUGCCUGAGGUU